rnacentral:lncRNA from 1 species
CCUGUUCCUAACAUGACUGUGGGGGCACAUAAGGAUCGUUGUAAGGGCCUCUCCCCUCAUCUGGUCUUUAAAUAAUCGGACCUUCGACUUUGCUCAUGUUAGGACGAGGUUCUCCUUCUGUUCCUAACAUGGCUGUGGGGGCACAUAAGGGCCAUUGUAAGGGCCUCUCCCCCCAUCCAAUCUUUAAAUAAUCGGACCUUCGACUUUGCUCGUGUUAGGAUGAGGUUCUCAUCCUGUUCCUAACACGCUUAGUUUCG